AUACAGCCCUGACUGCUGAUGGGCUAAAGAAACCGGUGAAUUCCUGAGGUUACUGAGACAAACGUUCAUUUUGAUGUAGAGGUUUCCUGCGCCAGCCAGAUGCUGAAGUUAAGAACUGUCUCCGGGAGCUUCUGAGACAGAAGCAAAAGCAGAGCGGCAAGGAAGGAUGGAAGGAGAGUAUGAGUGAUGGAGGAGGAAGAAGAAAGUGGAGGAGGAAGAGGAGACAGAGGAGGAGGAGGAGGAAAAGAAGAAGAAGAGAGAGAUGGAAACCUUUCUCUUCAGUGAGCCCUAGACUUUUUGUGAAUCAAUACUUUUUCUUUUGCCUUCAGCCUGUUUGAGCUAAGUUCUGAAGUGGUCACGACUAAUACACUUUUCCUAUUGUCAUGAAACCCAGAGCAGCUUUCAAGCUGAAAAUCUUGACUAUUCCUUCUCUUUCUCCUCACUGUAUGUUUGGUGGGCACUAUAUGUUGCUGGCGGGCACUAUAUAUUGCCUUGGUGAUUGCACACGUGGGGAUACUUACCAGGGCUCCCAGAGCUUGCCAGUCUUAGGAUGAGGAGCUAAAGUAAUGUCUCCAUCAGCAUAUCCCGAAGCCUGUAAGAAAUCUUGGAAGUCAGGCAGCCUCCCCGUCUCCCUCCCUUUCUUCGUUCUUUCUUUCUAUAAGCAUUUCUGAGGACUAAUUCAGUUCUAGGUCAUUAAAUAGCAAAGCAGGGCUCUGAUAAAUUCAUUUCAGUUUAAAUUUCAGUUGGUGAAAGAAAAUACGUCCCCAAGAAUAGACACCAACUUCUCGGAUUGAAGUUUUUUUCAUGCUGUAAGCUCUUCAUGAUUUCGAAGUCUUUUAAAAAAUACAUUCUCUCAUUUGACCCUCACAAUAACCCAUAGGGGAAUAGAAUCUAUGAAUAAAAAUGGCUAACAGCCAUUGAGUGCUUUGUAUGAGGCCAGCAGUUCUGAAAGCGUAGUUCUGGGACCCUGGAGUUCUCUGAGAGCCUUAUAUGGGUUCCAUGAGGUUCAAAGGAUCUUCAUAAUAGUA
rnacentral:lncRNA from 1 species